UCGAAUUGGAAUCUUGUUGAUUAAGUUA
rnacentral:piRNA from 1 species